UGGGGAGGAUAGGGAGAAAGGGU
rnacentral:miRNA from 1 species